AAGCAUAUCAAUAAGCGGAGGAAAAGAAACCAACAGGGAUUGCCCCAGUAACGGCGAGUGAAGCGGCAACAGCUCAAAUUUGAAAUCUGGUCCCUAGGGCCCGAGUUGUAAUUUGUAGAGGAUGCUUUUGGUGAGGUGCCGCCCGAGUUCCCUGGAACGGGACGCCACAGAGGGUGAGAGCCCCGUCUGGCUGGCCGCCGAGCCUCUGUAAAGCUCCUUCGACGAGUCGAGUAGUUUGGGAAUGCUGCUCAAAAUGGGAGGUAUAUGUCUUCUAAAGCUAAAUAUUGGCCAGAGACCGAUAGCGCACAAGUAGAGUGAUCGAAAGAUGAAAAGCACCUUGAAAAGAGGGUUAAAUAGUACGUGAAAUUGUUGAAAGGGAAGCGCUUGUGACCAGACUUGGGCGCGGCGGAUCAUCCGGGGUUCUCUCCGGUGCACUUCGCCGCGUCUAGGCCAGCAUCAGUUCGUCGCGGGGGAAAAAGGCUUCGGGAACGUGGCUCCUCCGGGAGUGUUAUAGCCCGUUGCAUAAUACCCUGCGGUGGACUGAGGACCGCGCAUCUGCAAGGAUGCUGGCGUAAUGGUCACCAGCGACCCGUC
rnacentral:rRNA from 1 species